GUGGUGGUACCCUUAACCCCAAUCACACGAGAUGGGGGUUUGGAUUUGGGUGUGACAUGUACCACAAUGAAACGCUUUGGCUCCCAACCAGCAGCAUAAACAGCAAGCUUCCACCGAUCAGCUAUCAACCUAACUGCAUCUCUCUUAUCCUUCAGCAUAGGGCAGAAAACAUGAAGCUUGAGACCAUUUAUCGAUCCUCUGUUCUUUCGCCAAGUACCAAGUACUUGCACCUCUCCUCCACGGCAAGCACCCAUCUUGGAUCACGUCUAUAGAGGUCUGCAAGUAGCUCCGUCACAGCAGUAUUCUCACCAAGAUGUAGGGCUUCCAAGUUAGGGGGGGUGAUGUCAAAAGCAUCAGCAAG
rnacentral:misc_RNA from 1 species